rnacentral:miRNA from 14 species
ACAACUGUCAUGUAUGUGUGUGUGUGUGUGUGUGUGUGUGUGUGUGUGUAUAUAUAUAUAUAUAUAUAUGCACAUAUAUGUAUACACACACAUAU